rnacentral:lncRNA from 1 species
GUUUUGGUGAUGGUGAUGUGUUUUUACAUCUUACUUUACUGAACAUUCUUACUGCUUACAAUUAUCUCUAUCUAUGAUGAACUUGGCCCAGUAGUUUCAGUGGAAAAUGUUAGUAAAAAUUUACAAAUUUUAUGAAAAUUGUUAAAAAUUGACUAUAAAGGACAAUAACUCCUUAGGGGUCAAUUGACCAUUUUGGUCAGUUGACUUAAUUUUAGGUCUUACUUUGCUGUACAUUAUUGCUGUUUACAG